rnacentral:snRNA from 1 species
AGAAGGGAUCUGACUGCAACAUCUGCUACCACAUGGGUCUCUGGAGUCAAUUCUGCUGAUCUGGCUGGCUAAGUGGGUGUCCCUUCCUUCCCUCCUGGCUCCAUAUGUGUCCCUCUUGAAACCGCAUGCUCAUUUGAAGAAGGUAAACCUUUCUUCAGUUGGGCUCUCCUACUAGAAACAAG